rnacentral:lncRNA from 1 species
GUGGCUGCCGCCGUGGCCGCGUAGCCCGAACGCAGAUCGUGGAAGCCGAAGACGCGGCAACGGUGGUCCCUCCAGAUGCCAGGGAAGGUUUGCAGGAAGCCGCUCCCGACACCCUUUGCGCCACCGGAAGCCUCGUUCCCUCAGAUUUCCCCCUCCCUCCCGGACCGACUUCCGGGUGUGGCUGCCGCCCUUCCCCCACCCACGCCGGCGGGAGCCGCCCGUUCGCGCUGCCAGCAGCUUCCGCCUGCUACGGUCCUGGCAAGCACCUCGGGAUCCCAUUCCUUCACAGGGACCCUAGCCAGUUAAAGCUGAUACAUUCCUGUGGGUCAACUAUGCAACUAACUCAGAUUUUGAGCAAACAAAGCUCUCAAGUUGGUGAUCCUCAGGAGUCUCUGCAUUAGUUGGACAGCUCUUCUGGAAUUAUCUUCUAAGUCAACUGUGGGUUGGGUAGGUGGCUCUGCUGAUUUUUCGCUGGACUUCCACAUUUGGGACGAGUUGGCUGUCAUCAGCUCUAGAAAGGGUGUGGCCGUUUUACAUUGGCUGUUUUCCUCACAUUCCUCAAGCAGAUAACUGAUACCGUGCUUCCAGAAGAUUUUUCUAACAGUGUUUGCAAGCUAUAAAAUAGUGCUUUCACUUAGAAAAGGCUAGACGUGGUGGUUCAUGCCUGUAAUCCCAGCACUUUGAGAGGCCGAGGCACCAUGCUGGGAGAUAAGGAUCCAACAUAAGACAAACAGUGCUGAUGCUUUUGGAAAGCUCAUAUUCAAGCUGGGGAGACAAACAACAUACAAGUGGCUGUAGCUACCUUCUGCAUAUGGAUAUCCAGUUUUCCCAGCACCACUUAUUAAAGAGACUGUCUUUUCUGCAGUGUAUAUUCUUGGCACCGUUGUUGAAAAUGAAUUCAUUGUAGGUGUGUGGGUUUGUUUCUGGGUUCUCUAUUCUGUUCAACUUGUCUAUGUGUCUGUUUUUAUGCCAGUACCGUGUCAUUUUAGUUACCAGAGCUCUGCAGUAUAAUUUGAAACCAGGUCAUGUGAUUCCUCCAGUUUUGUGGUAUUAGGAUAGGUUUGGCUAUUCUGAGUCUUUUGUGGUUCCAUAUAAAUUUUAGAAUUUUUUUUUUCUAUUUCUGUGAAGAAUGUCAUUGGUAUUUUGAUAGGGAUUGCGUUGAAUCUGUAGAUUGCUUUGGGUAGUAUGGACAUUUUAACAAUAUUCAUUCUUCUAAUCCAUGAACAUG